CCUACGGGUUGCAGCAGUAGGGAAUAUUAGUAAUGGGCGAAAGCCUGAACUAGCAACGCCGCGUGUGCGAAGAAGGCCUUCGGGUUGUAAAGCACUUUUUGAGAGGAUGAGGAAGGACGGUACUCUCAGAAUAAGUCUCGGCUAACUACGUGCCAGCAGCCGCGGUAACACGUAGGAGGCAAACGUUAUCCGGAUUUACUGGGCGUAAAGCGCGUGUAGGUGGUUUGGUAAGUAGGGCGUGAAAGCUCCUGGCUCAACUGGGAGAGGACGUUCUAAACUGCCAAGCUUGAGGAUGGUAGAGGGAGGUGGAAUUCCGGGUGUAGCGGUGGAAUGCGCAGAUAUCCGGAGGAACACCAGUGGCGAAGGCGGCCUCCUGGACCACUCCUGACACUCAGACGCGAAAGCUAGGGUAGCAAACGGGAUUAGAUACCCUUGUAGUC
rnacentral:rRNA from 1 species